rfam:Nicotiana attenuata strain TT chromosome 1, whole genome shotgun sequence.
AUAUCAUGGUGUGGGCAUUUUCUUAACAUUGCUUUCAAUCUUUCCCAAGAUUCAUUAAUGACUCAGUGUCAGUCUGCAAGAAAUUAGAUAUAUCUUGUCUUAACUU